rnacentral:rRNA from 1 species
UUUUGUUUUUUAUUAAUUGGUAUUGCAUACUAUUAGAAGAAAAUUUUAUAUUAAAUAAAAAAUGGAAAGAAAAGGUAGAAUAAAAAUUUUGUUUAUUGUUAUAAAAUAAAUAUUAUUUUUUUUAGUGUUGAAAAGUCGUCUUUUUUGUUAUCUGUUUGGUGAUAAUUUUUAUAUUAGAAAAUUAUAUUUUUGUUUGUUUUUUUUUAAAUUAUAAGAUUUGAAGUUUUUUAGUAUUUAGUUUUAUAACUAAUUUUGUUGUUUUUAUUUUGGUAAUAAUUUUUUUUUAUUAAGGUUUUAAUAAAUUUAGGAUUUUUAAAUUAGUAAUGGAUUUUUUAACUAAUUUAGUUAUAAAAUAUAAUAAAAUAAAUAAAAAUUUAAUCAAAUGUUUUUUAAAGACUUAGACUUUUUUAUAAAGUUUGCUUCUGCCCGGUGAUUAUUUAAAUGGCAGUCUUAGCGUGAGGAUAAUAAAGUAGCAAAAUAAUUUGUGCUUUUAAUGGGUUCCAGUAUGAAUGAAGUUAUUGGUUAAUUUUUUUUUUAUUUUUUGUAUGAAUUUUUUUUUAAUAAAAAGAUUUAAAUAUAAUUAGACAAAGAUAAGUCUUCGGAAAUUCUUUUUUUAUAUUUUUGAUUUUAUUCGAAUUUAUAAAAAAUUUUCUAGGGUAGAAGGAUUUAUAUAGUUUAGAACUAUAAAUAAUUUUAUGAAUUACUUCGGAGUUAACAGAAAAUCAUAUUUAAUCUAGUUGUUAUAGUAAAAUAAGUUUUACAUCGAUGUUGUAUUUAAGUAUAUUAGGAGGGAGAAGGUUUAAUUUUUGAGACUGUUCUUCUUUUAAUUAAUUUAACGUGAUAUUAGUUUAAUUCAUCGUGAGAUAGAAUUGUUUAUCUUGUUAAUUAUUGAGUUAUAUUGUUGUGAGUACGAAAGGAAAAUUAUAUAGGUUUAAAACUUUGUUUGAGUAUUUUUAAUA